GGCUCGCCCAAAAAGUAUGUCUGCUGUUUUUGAAGGGGCAAGUAGUAAUUACCGUUCCAGGGGAGGGAGCUGAAGAUUAAAUCCUGAAGUCUGCCCCAUUUGGAGCAGCAGCCUGGCUCCUGGUUGGCUGCGGCGUCAGGAAUACAUCAUGAUCCAGUCUAUUUCUAUAGAAGGCACUGAGACUCCUCCACUCAACAUGAGCUAGUCCAAAAAUGGAGACCCUGGCUCACCCAGCUUCCACCCCGGGUCCCUGGCAUUGUAACUGGCACGUGGGAAGCUUAACACAUAUUGUGAAAUGAUCAGGUCUUAUUUCAACCCUAAAAUUCUGUUCCUCUACUUUCCUUUAACUCACCAAAAUAAUGUGUGAAGAGCAGAAGUGAUAUUUAUGUGCCAUAAAUGUUUAUCUUUGGGCAGAUCAUAUUUUUGGCUGCAUCUGGUUUAAGCCUAUUUAUUUA